CUCUCAAGUGUUGUCUGUGGUCAUCAUCCAGGGCUCGGAAACAAACCAACUCAAGACUCAUUGGCUUCAGCAGUAAGCUAUUUUAUGUCACGUAGUUCCAAGGGCCAGGGGUUGGGGGGGGGGGGGGCGGGUCGUGGCUCAGAGGAUUUAGUCAAAAUGCCAGCUGGGCUGCAUGCUCUGAAGGUGGCACCAGGCUAGAGGAUGGGUUCACCAGCUCGAUUCUGGGCAGGAAACCUCUUCCUUACCAGUGGCCCCCUCCUUAGGGCUGCUUGAGUAGCCUCAUGACACAGUGGAUGCCACAAAGUCUUUUAUGACCUGGAUUUGGAAGUGUCAUGCCAUCAUUUCUGCGAUGUCCUGUUGAGUACACAGGCCAGCCCUCCCCUUUUUAUAAUAGGCUUUAUUUGUUAGAGCAGUUUUAGGUUCACGGCAAAAUGGAGGGAAGGUAGAGAGAUUCCCCGUAUACUCCGUACCCUCCACACAUGCACAGCCUCCCCCGUUAUCAAUAUCCCCCACCAGAGAGGGACAUUUGUUACAAUUGAUGAACCUACACUAACAUGUGAUUGUCACUCAGAGUCCAGAGCAUACAUCAGGGCUCACUCUGUGUUGUGGAUCCUGUGGGUUUGGACAAAUGCAUGAUGCCACGUAUCCAUCAUCCUAAUAUCACGUAGCGUAGUUUCACUGCCCUGGAAAUCCUCCGUGCUCCGCCUGGUCAUCCCUCCCCUACCUCCCGACAGCCACUCACCUUUCUCUGUCUCCACAGUUUGCCUUUUCCACAAUGUCCCGUAGGUGGAGUCCUACAGUAUGUGGCCUUUCAGAUUGGCUUCUCUCACUUAGUAACAGGGCUCAUUCAUGUCUUUUCUUGGCUUAACAGCUCAUUUCAUUUUAGUGCUGAAUAACACUCCAUUGUCUGGAUGACCCCAGCUUACCCAUCUACCUACUGAAGGUCACCUUGGUUGCUUCCAGGUUUUCAGGCCAGCCCUUUGCAGUGCUGGAGAGGAGGACAGGAAGCAUCCACUCGAGCAAGGGGACCAUCUCCAGAGCAAAUCAUCCCCGGGUCAGCGCACGUCUAUUGCCGGAGCUCGGCGUCCCCUCGGAGGUGAGCUCUGCAGGGAAGGCUGCUGAGG
rnacentral:lncRNA from 1 species